rnacentral:tRNA from 1 species
GGGCUGUUGGCUCAGCCGGUUAGAGCGCUGCGUUCACAUCGCAGAGGUCGCUGGUUCGAAUCCAGCACAGCCCACCA